CUGCCCUCAAGCACGGCUUGUGUGUUGGGCCCCCGUCCCCCCCCAAGGGGACGGGCCCGAAAGGCAGCGGCGGCACCGUGUCCGGUCCUCGAGCGUAUGGGAAGCAACUUUUUGUCACCCGCUCCUGUAGGUCCGGCCGGCGGCCUGCCCAACCCCAACCAAAAUGUUUUUUUAACCA
rnacentral:misc_RNA from 1 species